rnacentral:rRNA from 1 species
CCUACGGGAGGCAGCAGUAGGGAAUAUUGCUCAAUGGGGGAAACCCUGAAGCAGCAACGCCGCGUGGAGGAUGAAGGUUUUCGGAUUGUAAACUCCUUUUGUUAGAGAAGAUAAUGACGGUAUCUAACGAAUAAGCACCGGCUAACUCCGUGCCAGCAGCCGCGGUAAUACGGAGGGUGCAAGCGUUACUCGGAAUCACUGGGCGUAAAGAGCGCGUAGGCGGGAUAGCAAGUCAGAUGUGAAAUCCUAGGGCUUAACCAUAGAACUGCAUUUGAAACUGUUAUUCUAGAGUAUGGGAGAGGUAGGUGGAAUUCUUGGUGUAGGGGUAAAAUCCGUAGAGAUCGAGAGGAAUACUCAUUGCGAAGGCGACCUGCUAGAACAUAACUGACGCUGAUGCGCGAAAGCGUGGGGAGCAAACAGGAUUAGAUACCCUUGUAGUC